CGAAGAGUUUGAUCCUGGCUCGGAGUAAAUGCCAGCAACUGGCUCUUUUUGAGACGGAAGUCGGGCACGCCUU
rnacentral:rRNA from 10 species